rfam:Ciona savignyi cont_35637, whole genome shotgun sequence.
GUCUCUGUGGCGCAAUUGGUUAGCGCGUUCGGCUGAUAACCGAAAGGUUGCUGGUUCAAGCCCAGCCAGGGACG